CAAAUUCUUGCUGAGUUUAUGUCAGAGCACACUGAUUUGGCCAAAGGAGUUCUACCAAAUACAUCACAAGGAAAAGCAACAGCCAAUAGACUAUGGGAAAACUUAGCCCUAAUGCUAAAUGCUUCUGGUCCACCAUUGAAGGAUGCUAAAACGUGGCGAAAGGUGUAUGCAGAUCAAAAGCAGUUGGUUAAAAAAAAGGUUUCUUUUAACAAAUCCUCCAAAAAAAAACUGGUGGAGGCCCUUUUGAGGAUAAACACCUUAGCGUAGCUGAGGAGCAAAUUUUGGAAGCAGCAGGAAUUGAAGUAUCUGUAGUAGGCUUGCAAGAGAUCCGUUCAUUCGGGAAAAAAAAUCAAGAAGUAGAACAAUGUAAUUCUUCUGAAGGUACGAGUACAUCCCAAGGAAAUGAAGCCGACGAAUACAUUUCGGAAGUAAUGGACAUCGUAGAUAAUGAGGAGAAUGAAGAGACGCCUAAAAAAGAUAGAUCACUGCACUUGCCCAUUACAAGAAAAGAGCCAAGAGAAACGAAGACGAGUCUAUUAAAAAAUAAUAUUAGUGCCAAUGAUAAAUACCAUGCUGAAGUUCUUAAAAGAUUAGAUAAAAUAAUAGAAAUUAAAGAAAGAAAAUUAAAAAUGAAUGCGCAAUUACACGACAUCAACAUGGAAAUAAAAAAAAAUGAGCUUCAAAUACGGAUAAAGGAAUUAGAAAAUAUUAAUCAACAAUACUAACGGCCAAGCUUACAAUAAAAAAUUGGACCACUACCAAGUUUUUAAUCUAAAAUGAAUUACAUAUUUUUAUUUUAACAAACUUUUUUUUGGACCACUACCAAGUUUUUAAUCUCACAAUGAAAUACACAUUUUUAUUUUAACAAA